AAUGGAGGAAACUCUGACGCAGUGACGCCGCGUGCAGGAAGAAGGUUUUCGGAUUGUAAACUGCUUUAGACAGGGAAGAGAAAGGACAGUACCUGUAGAAUAAGCUCCGGCUAACUACGUGCCAGCAGCCGCGGUAAUACGUAGGGAGCGAGCGUUAUCCGGAUUUAUUGGGUGUAAAGGGUGCGUAGACGGGAAUACAAGUUAGUUGUGAAAUACCUCGGCUUAACAGAGGAACUGCAACUAAAACUAUAUUUCUUGAGUACAGGAGAGGUGAGUGGAAUUCCUAGUGUAGCGGUGAAAUGCGUAGAUAUUAGGAGGAACACCAGUGGCGAAGGCGACUUACUGGACUGAAACUGACGUUGAGGCACGAAAGCGUGGGGAGCAAA
rnacentral:rRNA from 1 species